CAAAGCUCAAGAAGAUGUUGUGGCUGCAUGUAACGAGUAUGGUAUUAAAGUUACCCUGUUCCAUGGGCGUGGAGGGAGCAUCGGCCGUGGUGGUGGGCCAACGUAUCUGGCCAUUCAAUCGCAGCCUCCAGGUUCGGUAAUGGGUACUUUACGAUCAACUGAGCAAGGGGAGAUGGUACAGGCGAAGUUCGGGUUGCCGCAGACUGCUGUUAGACAGCUAGAGAUAUAUACCACGGCCGUACUCCUUUCAACCCUGCGUCCACCACUUCCACCUCGAGAAGCAAAAUGGCGUAAGCUCAUGGAGGAGAUCUCAAAAAUCAGCUGUGAGAAUUACCGGAGCAUGGUAUAUGAAAAUCCAGAAUUCAUUUCAUACUUCAAUGAGGCCACUCCCCAAGCAGAGCUUGGCUUCCUUAACAUUGGAAGCCGGCCAACAAGAAGAAAGACCUCUGUUGGGAUCGGGCAUCUUCGAGCUAUACCAUGGG
rnacentral:misc_RNA from 1 species